AACGAACGCUGGCGGCAUGCCUAACACAUGCAAGUCGAACGAGACCUUCGGGUCUAGUGGCGCACGGGUGCGUAACGCGUGGGAACCUGCCCUUAGGUUCGGAAUAACUCCCCGAAAGGGGUGCUAAUACCGGAUAAUGUCUUCGGACCAAAGAUUUAUCGCCUUUGGAUGGGCCCGCGUUGGAUUAGCUAGUUGGUAGGGUAAAAGCCUACCAAGGCGACGAUCCAUAGCUGGUCUGAGAGGAUGCUCAGCCACACUGGGACUGAGACACGGCCCACACUCCUACGCGAGGGAGCGGAGUGGAAUAUUGGAGAAUGGGGGCAAGCGUGAUCCAGCAAUGCCCCGUGUGUGAUGAAGGCGUUUGGGUUGUAAAGCUCUUUUACCCGGGAUGAUAAUGACAGUACCGGGAGAAUAAGCUCCGGCUAACUCCGUG
rnacentral:rRNA from 1 species